CCGGUAAACGGCGGCCGUAACUAUAACGGUCCUAAGGUAGCGAAAUUCCUUGUCGGGUAAGUUCCGACCUGCACGAAUGGCGUAAUGAUGGCCAGGCUGUCUCCACCCGAGACUCAGUGAAAUUGAACUCGCUGUGAAGAUGCAGUGUACCCGCGGCAAGACGGAAAGACCCCGUGAACCUUUACUAUAGCUUGACACUGAACAUUGAGCCUUGAUGUGUAGGAUAGGUGGGAGGCUUAGAAGUGUGGACGCCAGUCUGCAUGGAGCCGACCUUGAAAUACCACCCUUUAAUGUUUGAUGUUCUAACGUUGACCCGUAAUCCGGGUUGCGGACAGUGUCUGGUGGGUAGUUUGACUGGGGCGGUCUCCUCCUAAAGAGUAACGGAGGAGCACGAAGGUUGGCUAAUCCUGGUCGGACAUCAGGAGGUUAGUGCAAUGGCAUAAGCCAGCUUGACUGCGAGCGUGACGGCGCGAGCAGGUGCGAAAGCAGGUCAUAGUGAUCCGGUGGUUCUGAAUGGAAGGGCCAUCGCUCAACGGAUAAAAGGUACUCCGGGGAUAACAGGCUGAUACCGCCCAAGAGUUCAUAUCGACGGCGGUGUUUGGCACCUCGAUGUCGGCUCAUCACAUCCUGGGGCUGAAGUAGGUCCCAAGGGUAUGGCUGUUCGCCAUUUAAAGUGGUACGCGAGCUGGGUUUAGAACGUCGUGAGACAGUUCGGUCCCUAUCUGCCGUGGGCGCUGGAGAACUGAGGGGGGCUGCUCCUAGUACGAGAGGACCGGAGUGGACGCAUCACUGGUGUUCGGGUUGUCAUGCCAAUGGCACUGCCCGGUAGCUAAAUGCGGAAGAGAUAAGUGCUGAAAGCAUCUAAGCACGAAACUUGCCCCGAGAUGAGUUCUCCCUGACUCCUUGAGAGUCCUGAAGGAACGUUGAAGACGACGACGUUGAUAGGCCGGGUGUGU
rnacentral:rRNA from 1 species